rnacentral:misc_RNA from 1 species
GAUGAAGAACGUAGCGAAAUGCGAUAAGUAAUGUGAAUUGCAGAAUUCAGUGAAUCAUCGAAUCUUUGAACGCACAUUGCGCCCCUUGGUAUUCCGAGGGGCAUGCCUGUUCGAGCGUCAUUAUAACCCCUCAAGCUUAGCUUGGUGUUGGGGCCUGCUGUAAUAGAGCAGCCCUUAAAAUCAGUGGCGGUGCCAUUAGGCUCUAAGCGUAGUAAUUCUUCUCGCUAUAGGGUUCUGGUGGAUGCUUGCCAUUAACCUCUAAUUUUCUAUGGUUGACCUCGGAUCAGGUAGGGAUACCCGCUGAACUUAAGCAUAUCAAUAAGCGGAGG